rnacentral:tRNA from 1 species
UCCGAUAUGGUCUAGUGGCUAGGAUUUGCCGCUCUCAUCAGAGUACAAAACUUCACAGUGCCGGCAAGGCCCGGGUUCGAUUCCCGGUGUCGGAA